rnacentral:tRNA from 1 species
GAGGAUAUAGCUUAGUGGUGGAGCACAUGCUUAGCAUGUACGAGGUCCUGGGCCCAAUCCCCAGUACCGCCA